GCCGGUUUGGCUCAGUGGAUAGAGCAUCAGCCUGUGGACUGAAAGGUCCCAGUUCGAUUCUGGUCAAGGGCA
rfam:Myotis lucifugus cont2.26264, whole genome shotgun sequence.